GUCACCAAGAGAGGUUGUGCACAAACUAUUCCAGCCAUGAAGUUCAUUUGCUUGCUUUAUUUUUUGUUAUUGUGCUUUGCAAUUAGCACAGCACAAAUUUACAUCAGGAACAUUCCAAACGAAGAUAAAUAUCCGCAUGCGAAGACCGGCAGAGAAAUAUUCUGUCUCUACUACCCUGAAAAAUGCGAAAAUAACUAAACUUAAAUACAUCGUCAGUGAACAAGCGAGCAAGAAUGGCGUCAUUUCAUCUCUUCGUCCAACUUUUCACACCGAGGUCUACAGCCCGUCUAGACAAAUGACAUUUGUUUAAUGCGAAAUACAUUACCGUGGUUUGCCGUGUCGAGGCUCCUUUUCCCCCCUUAAAAAAACAUUAUUAGACGGUUCACUUUUUGCUUUCAUUCGGCAUCUUUUUUUCAAAAUGAUACGUCUGAACAUGAGUAUGAAACAAGAGUACAGAAUUCAUUAGUGAACCGAUCAAACGAUACUGGAGUUCGGCAUUCGACAUCAUUCACUCUCACUGCGAAUGAACAAAAUAUGAACUGUCUGCACACAAAGUGAACGUCCACUCAGAUUUGAUUAGAUGAUCACAAAUUAAACUGAUGCCGAGAAGCACGACAUCACUCUUUUUUUUUGUUACUUGCAUUCAUGCCUUAUACCGAAUAAAACACUUUUCAUUUCA